rnacentral:sRNA from 1 species
UCUGAGACUAGGGCCAGUAGUGGCUCUGUCAGGGAUCUCCCUGAGCUUCUGGGAAGUGAGUUUCCAGAGAACAGGGCUCCAUGUGAGGGUUUAACUGAACAACCCUUUGCUAAAGGAGAUGUGUCUGAACAUGGAUUCUUCAGCCAUUUCAGUGGAAGUCAGGAUUGGAAAUGCAG